rnacentral:rRNA from 1 species
UACGUAGGGUGCGAGCAUUGUCCGGAAUUAUUGGGCGUAAAGAGCUCGUAGGCGGCUUGUCGCGUCGGAUGUGAAAGCCCGGGGCUUAACCCCGGGUCUGCAUUCGAUACGGGCAGGCUAGAGUUCGGUAGGGGAGACUGGAAUUCCUGGUGUAGCGGUGAAAUGCGCAGAUAUCAGGAGGAACACCGAUGGCGAAGGCAGGUCUCUGGGCCGAUACUGACGCUGAGGAGCGAAAGCGUGGGGAGCGAACAGG